AAACAAUUAGACAUUUGAGUUUAUUUUUUGUUUAUGUAAAAUAGUAAAUACGCCGUUGGGUCAGCCUUUCCUUUUUUUCCCUCAGAGGAAAAUGGAAAUAAACUUUUUGUCAAGAGUUAUGCCACCCUAAAAAACGGGCCACGUUGCAGGCUUGGGAGAAUGGAGAAGACCUUGCAUAUGCUUUUGCAAACUCUUUUGUGAAUUUAUAGCAGCAUGGAUCCUCCUCCAGCCCUGCCAUUUACUCAGAACACCUGCACACUGAGAGAAGAGUGACUCAGAGCCAAGUCCUCAGCUGCAGAAAGGCGGUAAGAUCCAUGUGCUUGCAGGAAAGUGAUCACUGAUGCCAACAAGGCUUCCUGGCACAAAUGGCAUGUGUCCAGCUCGGCUGGUGCCUCCAGCCACAGGGAGCAGCUUUGGGUCCCUCUUGCCUGGGAUAAACAAACACAACAGCAAGCUCCAGAAGAAAUAGGAAACCCAGACCAAAGAACGAGACCACACAUCAAAUAAACUCUUAACAAGCCUGGUGCAACGACAUCCUGAUCCAUGAGUGGACUUCUUUAGCAAUACUGCAAUAUGAUUAACAGAUCUUUCCUUUUGUGCCAAGAAUGGUAUGGGGCCAAAGGAAAAUGGCAGAAUACAAGAAAAAAAAUGCCUAUGGAGAAAGAAGAGGAAUCCAGAGUGUGCCUACUCUUUGUGUUGUGGUGAUUAGAUUUCUACUGAUGUAAGUGGUUUUGAAUUAAGCAGUUGGUGGUCGAUAUAAAAACGUAGUCAGAGAGAUGGAAAUAAUUAUUUUAAAACCCUAGAUGGUUAUGCUGCAAGAUGAUUUCUCUUACAAGUCUCUGUUUUUAUGGAUUUAUGACUGCAUGAAGGAAAGUUCUUCCACAUCUGAACCUUACAAGCUUGGCACUUUUGCUGCUGAAGUCUUGAUUUCACAUCUGUAUGUAGUCCUACAGCACUGAGUGGAUCCCCUUCUGGGUGUGGAGAUAUACUUCGUUGGACCAUGGGAAAAUAUCUGUAUUUAGUAGGUGAUGCUCCAGAUGUAUUAGAACCUCGUGGUUUAGGAUGGGACAGACCUUUCCAAAAGAAGCAUGUACUAAAGGUCAAAGUCUUGUCUACAAAAACACAUCUGAAAGCUCCAAGCUGUUGACCCAUACAACCAGCUUGAUAGAAAAUGCUACAAGCAGUCACUGGAGGAAGAUGAGAAGCUUCUGCCAGACACCAGAUGAAAGCAGGCUAGCUCUUCAGGCAAAGCAUACACUUUUAUAAACAUUUAGUCAAGUGUUACUGUUUUCAGUCACAGCUGCUUGGGUAACUCCCUAUAACCCUCAUAAUUAUUUUCUGUCUUUCUGAAGAAGUCAGUAAGGAAAAAAGUGGUGGG